rnacentral:rRNA from 1 species
UACAGAGGGGGCGAGCGUUGUUCGGAAUUACUGGGCGUAAAGGGCUCCUAGGCGGCCAACUAAGUCGGACGUGAAAUCCCCAGGCUCAACCUGGGAACUGCGUCCGAUACUGGAUGGCUUGAAUCCGGGAGAGGGAUGCAGAAUUCCAGGUGUAGCGGUGAAAUGCGUAGAUAUCUGGAGGAAUACCGGUGGCGAAGGCGGCAUCCUGGACCGGCAUUGACGCUGAGGAGCGAAAGCCAGGGGAGCAAACGGG